CCUACGGGAGGCAGCAGUAGGGAAUCUUCCACAAUGGGCGAAAGCCUGAUGGAGCAACGCCGCGUGAGUGAAGAAGGUUUUCGGAUCGUAAAACUCUGUUGUAAGGGAAGAACAAGUACAGUAGUAACUGGCUGUACCUUGACGGUACCUUAUUAGAAAGCCACGGCUAACUACGUGCCAGCAGCCGCGGUAAUACGUAGGUGGCAAGCGUUGUCCGGAAUUAUUGGGCGUAAAGCGCGCGCAGGCGGUCCUUUAAGUCUGAUGUGAAAGCCCACGGCUCAACCGUGGAGGGUCAUUGGAAACUGGGGGACUUGAGUGCAGAAGAGGAAAGUGGAAUUCCAAGUGUAGCGGUGAAAUGCGUAGAGAUUUGGAGGAACACCAGUGGCGAAGGCGACUUUCUGGUCUGUAACUGACGCUGAGGCGCGAAAGCGUGGGGAGCAACAGGAUUAGAUACCCUGGUAGUUCACGCGUAAACGAUGAGUGCUAAGUGUUAGGGGGUUUCCGCCCCUUAGUGCUGCAGCUAACGCAUUAAGCACUCCGCCUGGGGAGUACGGUCGCAAGACUGAAACUCAAAGGAAUUGACGGGGGCCCGCACAAGCGGUGGAGCAUGUGGUUUAAUUCGAAGCAACGCGAAGAACCUUAC
rnacentral:rRNA from 1 species